rnacentral:rRNA from 1 species
UGGGGAAUAUUGGACAAUGGGGGCAACCCUGAUCCAGCAAUGCCGCGUGUGUGAAGAAGGCCUGAGGGUUGUAAAGCACUUUCAGUGGGGAGGAGGGUUUAUAGGUUAAGAGCUAGUAGACUGGACGUUACCCACAGAAGAAGCACCGGCUAACUCCGUGCCAGCAGCCGCGGUAAUACGGAGGGUGCAAGCGUUAAUCGGAAUUACUGGGCGUAAAGCGUGCGUAGGUGGUUGAUUAAGUUAUCUGUGAAAUCCCUGGGCUUAACCUGGGCAGGUCAGAUGAUACUGGUUGACUCGAGUAUGGGAGAGGGUAGUGGAAUUUCCGGUGUAGCGGUGAAAUGCGUAGAGAUCGGAAGGAACACCAGUGGCGAAGGCGGCUACCUGGCCUAAUACUGACACUGAGGCACGAAAGCGUGGGGAGCAAACAGG